rnacentral:tRNA from 1 species
GGGAAGGUGGCUCAGUGGUAGAGUACUUGCCUUGUAUACCAGAGGCCCUGGGUUCGAUUCCUCGGCAUCACA